rnacentral:lncRNA from 1 species
UGAUAGGAGCAUAUUUAUGCAACUUAGUUAGCUUGUUUCUUGGAAUUUACUUAGUUUAAUUCUAGUUAUUUUAGUACUUUAAGCUAUUUUCGUGUGUUUGUAGGUUCAAAUAACAAAGUUAGCAACAAAGUGCUAUUUGGAGCAUUUUUGAGCAUUUUUGGGCCAAGAUUGGAUAGUGCAAGUAUGGAGACAUGAGGAUGGACGUUUUUGAAGAUUUGAAGGCUAGAAAUCAGCAUGUAUGUGUGCAAGUGUGUUGAUCUACAACUACAAACAUCCAUCCACUACACCCAUUACAUCCACUCAUUACCAAACAUUCAUCCAUUACACUCAUUACAUCCACUCAUUACCAAACACUCACCCACUACACCCAUUACAUCCACUCAUUACCAAACAUUCACCCACUACACCCAUUACAUCCACAAACAUUCACCCACUACACCCAUUACAUCCACUCAUUACCAAACAUUCACCCACUACACCCAUUA